rnacentral:rRNA from 1 species
AAAUUGAAGAGUUUGAUCAUGGCUCAGAUUGAACGCUGGCGGCAGGCCUAACACAUGCAAGUCGAACGGUAACAGGAAGCAGCUUGCUGCUUCGCUGACGAGUGGCGGACGGGUGAGUAAUGUCUGGGAAACUGCCUGAUGGAGGGGGAUAACUACUGGAAACGGUGGCUAAUACCGCAUGACGUCGCAGGACCAAAGAGGGGGACCUUCGGGCCUCUUGCCAUCAGAUGUGCCCAGAUGGGAUUAGCUUGUUGGUGAGGUAACGGCUCACCAAGGCGACGAUCCCUAGCUGGUCUGAGAGGAUGACCAGCCACACUGGAACUGAGACACGGUCCAGACUCCUACGGGAGGCAGCAGUGGGGAAUAUUGCACAAUGGG